GGGAGACAGAGCCUUGGCCAGAGCUCUCAGAGAAGGGGGAGCUGCUUCCAUCUCCCACCCCACCGCUUUUCGCCACGGAGCGGAUGCCUUUACUGCUGUGGACCCUCAGGAAUGCCAGAUACUUUAUUCCCCCUUUUGCAGCUGAUUCCUCUGCUGAUGUCAGACCCAAGAUUGCCAGACUUCCCUCAUUAACUAAGGACCAGAUGCUCCUCAGGAACCUUCGAGGUCUGUGGCACCACCUUAGGCCGGCUGAGGUAUCCAGCCCUGUGGACUGAGGAAUUACCUGCUGUCAGAUCGCUGCGUUUGAUACAGCCACUAUGGGACACCGCCAUUGCUGAGACACACAGCCUCAAGGAUGAACAAGCCAAGCCUUCUGGGAACAAGAAGUCAUUAUGUCAGAAAGCUUGCCGUAGCUUUCCCUGCCUACCAUGUUCCUCUAACUCUGAUCAUGGGGAGACGGAGGCCAAAAGUCCAAAAUCACCAUUCUAAUGCAGAAAUCAAGGUGUCUACAAUGCAUACUGGCUUCUGCUGGCUGCUGGCACUCCUUGGCUUUGAACUACAUCAUUUAGUACUCCAGAAUUGAAG